GAGAAAAUUACAGUAGGUGGGUUUUGGGUAUAUAAAGGGAACUGGGUUAAUGAUGUUGCAUUUGCAGGUGGUACACAGCAUGGACGCAUUUCAUACUCAUAUGGGCGAUUUAUUCAUCUUUCUUCACUCCUUUGGAGUUUGGAUUCUUCAGAGGUCUCCCAGAGAACCUUUUCCUUCUCGACAUUGCUGGUCAGAUAGCUUUUCUCAUUGACAUUGUCGUUCGUUUCUUUGUUGCCUAUCGCGACACUCAGUCCCGUCGCUUGGUCUACAAUCGAAAUCUCAUUGCCAUUAGGUACUUGAAAUCUCGGUUUUUGGUUGAUCUUUUGGGUUGUCUUCCCUGGGAUGCUAUCUACAAGGCUUGUGGGAAAAAAGAGGCAGCUAGGUACAUGUUAUGGAUUAGGCUAAGCCGGGCCCGCAGAGUGACAGAUUUUUUUGAGAGGUUGGAGAAAGAUAUCAGGAUCAACUACCUUUUUACGAGAAUUGUGAAACUUCUUGUUGUUGAACUAUAUUGCACACAUACAGCUGCCUGCAUAUUUUACUAUCUAGCUACUACCUUGCCUCCCUCUGAGGAAGGUUACACAUGGAUAGGAAGUCUACAGAUGGGUGACUAUCACUAUUCACACUUCAGAGACGUUGAUCUUUGGAAGCUUUAUAUAACAUCGCUCUAUUUUGCCAUUGUUACCAUGGCAACUGUUGGCUAUGGAGAAAUACAUGCAGUCAAUGUCAGGGAAAUGAUAUUUGUCAUGAUUUAUGUAUCUUUUGACAUGAUUCUUGGUGCUUAUCUGCUUGGUAACAUGACUGCAUUAAUUGUAAAAGGAUCAAAGACUGAAAAGUUUAGAGAUAAAAUGGCUGAACUUAUCAAAUAUAUGAAUAGAAACAAUCUUGGAAAGGGCAUAAGCAAUGAGAUCAAGGGCCAUCUGAGAUUGCAAUUUGAUCGCAGCUAUACUGAAGCUGCUGUUCUUCAGGAUAUUCCAGCUUCUAUACGCGCAAAGAUCUCACAGAAGUUGUAUGAACCAUAUAUUAAAGAAGUUCCUCUUUUCAAGGGGUGCUCUUUGGGUUUCAUUACACAGAUUGCAAUAAAGGUGCAUGAGGAAUUUUUUCUCCCAGGAGAAGUGAUUAUAGAACAGGGCCAUGUGGUGGAUCAACUUUAUUUUGUCUGUCAUGGUGAAUUGGUCAUGGUAAUAGUUCAUCUUCAAGCCUUAUAUUUAUGCUGCAGGGGAGGAAGUGGGAAAAGGAGGAAAUGAUGAAACUGUUCCCAUGUGUCUGCAAACAUAUAGUUCAUUUGGUGAAAUUUCUUUUCUUUGCAACACUCCUCAGCCAUAUACAGUUCGAGUUAGGGAACUUUGCAGGGUCUUGCGACUUGAUAAGCAAUCAUUUACAGAGAUCCUUGAGAUAUACUUCUUUGAUGGACGAAUUAUCUUGAACAACCUCCUUGAGGGAAAGGACUCCAAUCUACGGAAUGACUUAUUGGAGUCGGAUGUCACCCUUUACAUUGAAAAGUCUGAAUCAGUUCUUGCUACAAGGUUGAACUGGGCUGCAUAUGAUGGAGAUUUUUAUCGGUUGAAACGUUUGAUUGGAGCUGGAGCAGAUCCUAAUAAGACAGAUUAUGAUGGAAGAUCACCUCUGCACAUUGCUGCAACUAAAGGAUAUGAAGAUAUAACACUUUUCCUUAUUGAGCAAGGAGUGGAUGUCAACAUUUCAGAUAAGUUUGGAAACACUCCCUUGCUUGAAGCUGUCAAGGGUGGGCAUGAUGAAGUAGGAUCUGCACUAGUUAGAGCCGGGGCAACACUGGAAAUUGACGACGCUGGUGAUUUUCUCUGUAUGACAGUUGCAAGAAGGGAUUUGGGUCUCUUGAAAAGAGCUUUGGCCAAUGGAAUGAAUCCAAAUGCCAAAAAUUUUGAUAGCAGAACACCACUUCACAUAGCUGCCUCAGAAGGGUUGUAUCCAAUGGCAAAGUUACUUCUAGAAGCAGGAGCUAGUGUUUUCUCAAAGGAUAGAUGGGGGAAUACGCCACUUGAUGAAGCCCGUCUAGGUGGC
rnacentral:misc_RNA from 1 species